rnacentral:rRNA from 1 species
CGCUGGCGGCGUGCUUAACACAUGCAAGUCGAACGAUGAAAGCGGGAGCUUGCUCCUGCUGGAUUAGUGGCGAACGGGUGAGUAACACGUGAGCAAUCUGCCCCGAACUCUGGGAUAAGCGUUGGAAACGACGUCUAAUACCGGAUACGACGCGCGAAGGCAUCUUCUGCGCGUGGAAAGAAUUUCGGUUCGGGAUGAGCUCGCGGCCUAUCAGCUAGUUGGUGAGGUAAUGGCUCACCAAGGCGACGACGGGUAGCCGGCCUGAGAGGGUGACCGGCCACACUGGGACUGAGACACGGCCCAGACUCCUACGGGAGGCAGCAGUGGGGAAUAUUGCACAAUGGGCGCAAGCCUGAUGCAGCAACGCCGCGUGAGGGACGACGGCCUUCGGGUUGUAAACCUCUUUAGUAGGGAAGAAGCGAAAGUGACGGUACCUGCAGAAAAGCACCGGCUAACUACGUG